ensembl:lncRNA
UUAUACAGUAAGUAUUGGUUAGGAGAGGGACUCGAAUCUAGGGCCUCUCUCUUUCUACUACCUUACUCUGCCCCUCUGUAGGAUGGGAAGUAAUAGAAAUAAGACUAAAAAGGUUGAGGAGAGACAAUUUUCAGAGAAAGAAAGAAAGGAAGGAAGGAAGAAAGAAAGAAAGAAAGAAAGAAAGAAAGAAAGAAAGAAAGAGAAAGAAAGAAAGAAAGAAAGAAAGAAAGAAAGAAAGAAAGAAAGAAAGAAAGAAAGAAAGAAAGAAAGAAAGAAAGAAAGAAAGAAAGAAAGAAAGAAAGAAGGAAGGAAGGAAGAAAGAGAGAGAGAGAAAGAAAAGAAUUGAAAGAAGACAGGAAGAUUCCUUUUGUCCACAAGGUCCUGUGCUGAAUGAACAGAAACAUCUCUCCUUCAUGAGUUCUUUUUUUGUAGUAUAAAUGACAUGUAUCUUCUUUCACAACACAAUUAACAUGAAAAUUGUAUUGAAUGGUAUUGUAUGUAUAAUCUAUAUCAUAUUGCCUGCUAUCUUGGGAGGGAAGAGGACCAGAAGAGAGAGAGCAUGGAUCACAAAAUAUCAGAAAAUGAUAUUAAAAUUAUAUCUACACGCAAUCUGGAAAAAGUAUAAUUUUUUUUAAAGAAAGAGAAAUAUCUCUGCUCCAGAUGUUCAUAUGAGCUAUUCAUGCCCAAUCUGCAAUAGAGUCUUCCAAGCUCACAUUGGUCUGAUCAGCCACAUAAGACACAUUGCACAAUGAAACCAACAUAAUAAUGUCAUUUUGGUCCUCUUCAAGUACAAAGGACAACAACCAACCAACCAGAUUCACAACCUAAUGAGUUAGUGUGUUAGUGAGUCUGUGUGUAUGUGUAAAAUAUAUUUAUUUACAUAUGUACUGCAAAAGGACAAUGAGUUACAUGCAUAAUUAGAUAAGAGAAGGAAAACUAGCUGAAUUGCCUUUAGAUAACUGUGAGUUGAUUUUCAAGACUCAAAUGUCUCUCUAGAACACAGAGCUAUCAUUUUUAAUACCAAUAUUCUGCCAAUGCUGUGAGGAAUCAGUCUUGGAAAAAUUAAAAAGGAGUAAAAGCCAGAGAACAGUAGAAAGACUUGUAAUGCAUGUGAGUAGGUUUAAACUGAGAAGGAAUUAUAAAGAAGAACUAGAGUACAAGAUGUCACUGUAAUGGAAAGGAAAAAGUAAUGAAUAUAGAGUCAUAGUUCCUUAAAAUAAAUCCCAAGUCUGCCACUGACUGCUUGAGCA